AUUAUCAAUGUGAAUUCAGUUGUAAGUUCCACUAUUGAUAAAAGUAUGUAAUACCUUUUUUCUGCUGUAAUUUUUUAAAUAUAUGAUUUUAUCAGCACCUUUGGGCAUUUAGGAAGUAGCACUGACCAUAGUUUGCUGAAUGGUAGAGACUUUGCAUGGUAGAUGCAAUUUGUUGGAUGUGCCUGGUGCUGGAAAAUUGAUUGAAGAAGGAAUUUAUUUACUAGAUGGAGACUUUAGUAGAUGUUAGGUUACAAACCUUAACUAUUCAGUUAUUGCAAGAAAAUAGAGAAGAAAGAAUGUUGAAGAAGAGAAAGAAGUAGAUAGAGAAGGAAAGAAAUAGAGGAAGAAGGGAAUAGAUUUCUCAUUGAUAAAGUUAUGGAAUGCCUAUAGAGAGAGCACUCGAACUCUUUAUACCAUGUUUCCCACCAGAAUCCCAGCUAUACUUCUAAUAACGGCCUUGUAGAAGACAGAGAAUUUAGAGAAUUUCUUUUAUAUUUCUUCAUACAAAAAUGAUUUACAAGA
rnacentral:misc_RNA from 1 species